rnacentral:misc_RNA from 1 species
GUGAAUCAUCGAAUCUUUGAACGCAAAUUGCGCUUCCUGGCAUCCCGGGAAGUAUGCCUGUUUGAGGGUCAGUAUUAAUAAAAAAUCGGUUUGGUUGUACAUUGUGACGUUUCCGGCGUUUGGGCUAUCUUCACUUUUUUGGUUAAGGGGCUUAAAAUUGACCUUUUUUGUGCAUUAUUAGACGUACAUAUAUUUUUUUUUAUUCGUCUAUUCUUUAUGACAAA